CAAUCACUUGUCUUUUAAAUGGAGACCUGUAUGAAUGGCAUAACGAGGGCUUAACUGUCUCCUUUUUCAAGUCAAUGAAAUUGAUCUCCCCGUGCAGAAGCGGGGAUAGCACCAUAAGACGAGAAGACCCUAUGAAGCUUUAGACGCAAGAUAGACCAUGUUAAACACUCCUUGAUAAGGGAUUAAACCAACUGGGUCCUCUCCUAAUGUCUUUGGUUGGGGCGACCGCGGGGAAACAAAAAACCCCCACGUGGAACGGGAGCACCCCCUCCUACAACUAAGAGCUCCUGCUCUAGUUAACAGAACUUCUGACCAAUAAGAUCCGGCAACGCCGAUCAACGAACCGAGUUACUCUAGGGAUAACAGCGCAAUCCCCUUUUAGAGCCCA
rnacentral:rRNA from 1 species